UACGGGGGGGGGAAGCGUUGUUCGGAAUUACUGGGCGUAAAGGGCUCGUAGGCGGCCAACUAAGUCGGACGUGAAAUCCCUCAGCUUAACUGGGGAACUGCGUCCGAUACUGGAUGGCUUGGAUUUGGGAGAGGGAUGCGGAAUUCCAGGUGUAGCGGUGAAAUGCGUAGAUAUCUGGAGGAACACCGGUGGCGAAGGCGGCAUCCUGGACCAAUAUUGACGCUGAGGAGCGAAAGCUAGGGGAGCAAACGGG
rnacentral:rRNA from 1 species